AUAAAUAAUGUAAGUAAAUGGAAUAAGUUUUAAGUGCUUUUAGUGAGUAAAAGGUCUUGGAUGCCUGAGAAGUAGCACAUGUACUACAUGUUCUAGUGAAGG